rnacentral:rRNA from 1 species
UACGGGGGGAGCAAGCGUUGUUCGGAUUUACUGGGCGUAAAGGGCGCGUAGGCGGCCAGCACAAGUCGGUUGUGAAAUCCCUCGGCUUAACCAAGGAAGUGCAUCCGAAACUGCAGAGCUUGAGUACUUAAGAGGAUCGCGGAAUUCCCGGUGUAGAGGUGAAAUUCGUAGAUAUCGGGAGGAACACCAGUGGCGAAGGCGGCGAUCUGGGAAGAUACUGACGCUGAGGUGCGAAAGCGUGGGGAGCAAACAGG